AAGUCGUAACAAGGUUUCCGUAGGCUAGUUCCUUCCAGGUUACUUGCUGAAGCCUUUGAUUGCAGCGACUCUAAAUGAAUUGCAUCCAGUCCCUCACGGGGCGACACCGUUAGCAUGCUGAAACCCAUGAACCUCAAGGUUCUAUGGCAUCAGCAGCACUGCAGGCUUUCACCUCGGUGCUCACAGAUCAAGCGACGGUGGCCAAAUGUUGUCGAUAAGGCUUUUCAAUCAUUUGAUUGAGAUAUGACCGGCCUGAGAUUUCAUCAUCUCAGAAAAUAGCGUUCCGUAGGUGAACCUGCGGAAGGAUCAUUAACGAGCUUAGGGUCUAUUCAGGCCCGAACCUCCAACCCCUUGUGUAUUUACCUUCUGUUGCUUCGGCAGGCCGUUAGGUUUUCAUCAACCUACCGUUUGACCAUCACCGGUCAAAUGUGUGCUUGCCAGAAGACCUACCAACUCUGAUCAUUAAUGAUGUCUGAGUCCAACAUUUAUAAUAUAUUAAAACUUUCAACAACGGAUCUCUUGGUUCUGGCAUCGAUGAAGAACGCAGCGAAAUGCGAUAAGUAAUGUGAGUUGCAGAAUUCAGUGAAUCAUCGAAUCUUUGAACGCACAUUGCGCCCUUUGGUAUUCCGAGGGGCAUGCCUGUUCGAGCGUCAUUUCAACAAUCAAGCCUGGCUUGGUAUUGGGCUGAUUUCAUGUAUCAGUGGUUUUUCCCCUGUGANNAUUACNCAUGAGCCUGAAAGACAGUGUCGGUGUAUGGUGAUAGCCCCGUACAGUAUAGAUGCUAAAAUCUCGUGGGGAUCCUUGACCUAUGGGUCAGGUCUGACCCACAGCAGUNNGCACUUGAACUGGGUUUUGGCUGNUGCAAAACAUUGACAUCAAAUGACAAUUUAUGUCAACUUCUAAAGUUUGACCUCGGAUCAGGUAGGGAUACCCGCUGAACUUAAGCAUAUCAAUAAGCGGAGGAAAGAAACCAACAGGGGUUGCCUCAGUAACGGCGAGCGAAGCGGCAACAGCUCAAAUUUGAAAUCUGGUCUGUUUACAGGCUCGAGUUGUAAUUUGUAGAGGAUGUUUCGAGUUCGGCUUUGGUCUAAUUUUCUUGGAACAGACGUCAUAGAGGGUGAGAAUCCCGUAUGCGACUGAAAGCCCGUCCUCAUGUGAAACUCCUUCGACGAGUCGAGUUGUUUGGGAAUGCAGCUCAAAAUGGGUGGUAAAUUUCAUCUAAAGCUAAGUACCGGCCAGAGACCGAUAGCGCACAAGUAGAGUGAUCGAAAGAUGAAAAGCACUUUGGAAAGAGAGUCAAAAAGUACGUGAAAUUGUUGAAAGGGAAGCGCUUGUAAUCAGACUUGCUCAUAAUUGAUCAUCCGAUGUUCUUCACCGGUGCACUCUGUUAUGAUCAGGCCAGCAUGGGUUUGAGCGGUCAGAUAAAGGCCCAGGGAAUGUAGCUUCUUUCGGGGAGUGUUAUAGCCCGGGUGCAAUGUGACCUGCUUGGACCGAGGACCGCGCUUCGUGCUAGGAUGCUGGCGUAAUGGUUAUAAGCGACC
rnacentral:rRNA from 1 species